rnacentral:rRNA from 1 species
UCUGGCGGGUGCUAUACAUGCAGUCGAGCGAUGGAUUAAGAGCUUGCUCUUAUGAAGUUAGCGGCGGACGGGUGAGUAACACGUGGGUAACCUGCCCAUAAGACUGGGAUAACUCCGGGAAACCGGGGCUAAUACCGGAUAACAUUUUGAACCGCAUGGUUCGAAAUUGAAAGGCGGCUUCGGCUGUCACUUAUGGAUGGACCCGCGUCGCAUUAGCUAGUUGGUGAGGUAACGGCUCACCAAGGCAACGAUGCGUAGCCGACCUGAGAGGGUGAUCGGCCACACUGGGACUGAGACACGGCCCAGACUCCUACGGGAGGCAGCAGUAGGGAAUCUUCCGCAAUGGACGAAAGUCUGACGGAGCAACGCCGCGUGAGUGAUGAAGGCUUUCGGGUCGUAAAACUCUGUUGUUAGGGAAGAACAAGUGCUAGUUGAAUAAGCUGGCACCUUGACGGUACCUAACCAGAAAGCCACGGCUAACUACGUGCCAGCAGCCGGGGGUAAUUCA